rnacentral:hammerhead_ribozyme from 1 species
AUUCAGCUGACGAGUCCAGAAUAGGACGAAACAUGAGUUUAAGAU